rnacentral:piRNA from 1 species
UCUCGAAAAGGAAGGAUCUUGUCCCAAU